UCUGCAGCCCAUCUGCCAAGGUUUUGCCGA
rnacentral:piRNA from 1 species